GACGAACGCUGGCGGCGUGCCUAAUACAUGCAAGUAGAACGCACGGUUUAUACCGUAGCUUGCUACACCAUAGACUGUGAGUUGCGAACGGGUGAGUAACGCGUAGGUAACCUGCCUGGUAGCGGGGGAUAACUAUUGGAAACGAUAGCUAAUACCGCAUAAUAUUAAUUAUUGCAUGAUAAUUAAUUGAAAGGUGCAAUUGCACCACUACCUGAUGGACCUGCGUUGUAUUAGCUAGGAGGUGAGGUAACGGCUAACCUAGGCGACGAUACAUAGCCGACCUGCGAGGGGGAUCGGCCAAGCUGGGACGGGGAGACGGCCCAGAACCCUACGGGAGGCAGCCGUAGGGGACCUUUGGCAAUGGACGAAAGUCGGACCGAGCAACGCCGCGUGAGUGAAGGAGGUUGUCGGAUCGUAAAGCUCUGUUGUAAGAGAAGAACGGGUGUGAGAGUGGAAAGUGCACACUGUGACGGUAUCUUACCAGAAAGGGACGGCUAACUACGUG
rnacentral:rRNA from 1 species